UCAGCCUUUUUCCUCGGGCCCGGCUAAGAGCCUCCGUCAGCGCUAUUAGUUCUGCCUUCUGAGCAGAUGUCCCUUGCGGAAGGCGUGCCGCCCAGACAAGUUUACCUUGGUCGUCUACUAUGGCUGCCCCUGCGUACCUGCGUCCGUCCCGGAUGAAACUGCUUCCAUCCGUGAACCAGGUCCAAGUGACUGUGCAAGCCAUAUGAAGUCCAAAGGACACAAGAAAUUUGAGGGCAGCUCCUGUGGCCCAUUCUUCCUGUUUCUUCAGUUUUUCUUCCAGCUACACUAUGUGACCACAUUCAGGGUCAGAGCAGGAGCCAGAGAGUCACAGGCGUGGAGCCGGGAGGGAGGAGAGGCAGCCUGGCACGGCGGCUCCUUGGGCAGAUCCGGAGUGAGACGGAGCCUGAGCCUGAAGCCAGCCCUGCCACUCACCAGCUGUGUGACCUGGGACAAGGAACUUUCUAAGCCUCAACUGUUUUUGUUUUUGUUUUUUUUUCUCAUUAGUAAAGUGGAGGUAAAAAUGCCCACCUUGCAGAGUUACUAUGAAAAUGAGAUGGGAUAUAUAAUGAGUCUGAUGGUUAAUAACUGGGAGCUGAUAUCGUGCUUGUCUUAUCCCAACCUCCUUGAGAGAGAGAGAGAGGCAGACUUGCCCAAAGUUAUGUGCUCAGAUGGCGGCAGACUCAAGUUCAUCCUGUCUCCCAGUUUGGGGCUCCUCUGCCCACCCCACCCUGCCCCCACCAUGUGGGGGACCACAGGCAAGAGCAGAUGGGCAUGAUGGGAAAAUCCUUCUGUUCUCUGCUCAUCGCCUGAGGAGAAGCACA